UACGUAGGUGGCGAGCGUUGUCCGGAUUCAUUGGGCGUAAAGCGCGCGCAGGUGGUGCGGUAAGUCUGUCGUGAAAUCUCCCGGCUCAACUGGGAGGGUGCGGUGGAGACUGCCGGACUGGAGGCACUCAGAGGCCGGUGGAAUUCCCGGUGUAGUGGUGAAAUGCGUAGAGAUCGGGAGGAACACCAGUGGCGAAGGCGGGUCUCUGGGCCGAUAUUGACGCUGAGGAGCGAAAGCGUGGGGAGCGAACAGG
rnacentral:rRNA from 1 species